rnacentral:rRNA from 1 species
AUUGAACGCUGGCGGCAGGCCUAACACAUGCAAGUCGAACGAGUGGCGGACGGGUGAGUAAUGUCUGGGAAACUGCCUGAUGGAGGGGGAUAACUACUGGAAACGGUAGCUAAUACCGCAUAACCUCAGAUGUGCCCAGAUUGGAUUGGCUGGUUGGUGGGGUAACGGCGCAACAAGGCGACGAUCCCUAGGUCGUCGGAGAGGAUGACCAGCCACACUGGAACUGAGACACGGUCCAGACUCCUACGGGAGGCAGCAGUGGGGGAGUUUGCACAAUGGGCGCAAGCCUGAUGCAGCCAUGCCGCGUGUAUGAAGAAGGCCUUCGGUUUGUAAAGUACUUUCAGCGAGGAGGCGUUACCCGCAGAAGAAGCACCGGCUAACUCCGUGCCAGCAGCCGCGGUAAUUC